rnacentral:misc_RNA from 1 species
AGUUAAAAGUAGUAAGGUUAAAAGUACUGUAAUUCCUAGAUUCGAGGAACUGACGUGAGGCGUGUGGCGUGCCGGCGUGUCGCGUUUAGUACUUGAGAGUCUAAAGUUGAGACUUCGUUUUUACAUGUGACUCGCAUGACGAUUGACGAGCUACCUACGAAACAAAUGUUUUUUCAUCACUUAUUACUUGUUUGUCAGUAGUUGUUACUCCGUACUUGUUUGCGGGGUCGUUAUUCGUGCGCCAUCUUAUGUACUUCUACUAAUGUCACUGCUUUCAACCUAAAUCACGGAAUAAUUCAUUCUGUGGCAUAGACUAUAUUAUACUCCUUUUCAAAAGAGAAUAUACCGCUUUCGCGCAUGCGAAUGAUUCGAUUGUUGCUGUAUGGAAAUCUGUCUUCUGUGGUAGUCAACGCGGACACCCUUUUAUCGUUGAUUUUCGUUAAAAAUCUCUAGUGACCGUUUCGAGAUUUCGUUGACUUCCGCGUAGAAAGCACAUUACAGCUGUCUCUGCUGUACGUCUGGAGCGGACAUCGUUUUAGAAAUGUACAACUUACCGAGCCUGGUAAAAACAGCUUAUUACGCAUGCAACAAGGCCGAGCGUAACAAAUUCGACUUGACGGAUGCACCGGACGUCGACUUGCGAUAUUGUUGCGAGUCGCUUUUUGAAUUCUUAAAAGUCAACAAGAACCUAGAUGAGGGCGACGAUAGGCGGACCAUGUACAGCCGGUCGCAGUUCGAAGUCGCGGACAAUAGGUUUAAAUACGUUUGUGAGGAGGCAGCGUUGCAUGGGCACAUUGAAUGCUUGAUACUCGCCCACGAAAUUGGUCUCCCGUGGAACGUUUCAGCGUCCGACAACGCCGCAUUGAACGGUCACUUAAAAUGUUUGAUAUACCUCGGGAUGCAUGGGUGUCAUUGGAGUUUUAACACGUGCAGCAACGCUGCCUUGAACGGUCAUCUAAAGUGCUUGAAGUAUUUAAGGAGGUCCCAUUGCCCGUGGGAUCAGGCGACGUGCAGCAACGCUGCGUUGAACGGGCACUUGGACUGCCUGGUCUAUGCGCGGAGACACCGUUGCCGCUGGAACCAGGCGACGUGUAGCAACGCUGCGUUGAAUGGUCAUCUCGAUUGCCUGGCGUACGCACGGGAGCAAGGUUGCCCGUGGAACGUGGACACGUGGAGCAGUGCCGCAUCCAACGGUCACCAGGCCUGCCUAGCUUAUGCGAGUGCAAAUGGGUGCCCAAGACCGUCGAGUGAACCCUAACCAUAAAGAUAUUGGGACUUUGGUGUUUUUUCAGUUAGAUGGAUAACAAUAGGUACCUACUACUUAGCAUGUACGAGGGAAUGAUUGAGCCAUAUGUUCACAAUUGACACUAGUUUAAAUUCAAUGGUAUCUACUUGUUGUAUCAGGAAUUAAAAAGUGAUUAAUUUCAA